AUGCAGUUUACUUCCCUUUUUCAUUCAGUUGCUCCUCCAUCAAGAAUCGGACAACUCUGCCCAGCUCUCCCAGAUUGAUACUGAGCAAUUGUUGGCCCACUUAGUAGAAGCAGAAAUGAUAAAGAGAACAAAAGAAGGAUCUCCUCCCCGUUUUCAGCUCUGUAUGCCAUUUCAUCGAUGAUAAAAACUUAUUUUCUAUUCACCGUUUUCACUGAGUAUGUGAUAUUGUCAAUUUUUUUGUGAUUAUUUAAUGUGUCUGAUGAUUUGAUGACCAGUUACUGAUUUGUUGGAAUAAUCUGAUUUGCGUGCCAUUUAGCUACAUUGUCAUUGGGAUGGAUUUCUUAAAUUGCUACCUGAUCAAUCUAAUUCAGCUAGCACUAUCGUUUCUGAACUUAUUCAGAAUAGGAGAUUGCACUAAAUGAGGUACUGCCUGUGACCAUUGCUCGUGAUGCUAUCCAGUACUCCCUGGAGUGGACAUCGUGGAGUCUCUACACCAGAUUCGUUACCACAAUCAGGCUCACUGUCUUGUGUUCUUUCCAAAUUUUGUCUCUAAUCGACUCCAAGCUAGACAAUUUCCUAUCCAAUAUGCUGCUGCUGGAGGGAUGGGAUAAGAAAGGUUGACUGGUGUAUGUCUGGCUUCUUAGUUUGUUCAACUCAGAUAUUCAGCAACAGUCUCAUAUUAUUUUUGAUACAACAGAAAAGAGUUUGUUGCUUCACUGUUCUGGUUGUUCUCGACAUGUUCACCCUGGUUGUCUGACGCCACCUUGGACUGGGAUAUUAGCUGAUGAUUGGUCAUGCUGCACAUGCAAUAAGUUAGAAGGAGAGGAAAAUGAACAAGAUGCUCAUGUAGCUGAUUUUUCACAGAGAUUUACAGGUAGUAAGGUGAUAAGCUGUUGACAAGAGAAGCAUUUGAUCGAGCUCGGAGCAUUAAUCCUUCAUUGGCCUUGCCAUGGGAAGGCCUGGGCUUUGCAGAUACUACCCAUAAGCAUAGUUCAUAUGUAUCAUUCUUCUCAGGAUAACACUUCCAUUGUCAAAAUAAUUUGGGAUUUUGAUUUCAUUAUCAUGAUAUUUUGCCAGAGUUCCAGAUUGGUCUUGGAACAAUUGCCGCUCAUUCCGGUGAAUUUCUAUCACCUCAGGCUGGUCUUGCAACUGAGGUAGUGUGGGAGUGUGAAGAAUUGAAAAGAAGGAUUUGUAAGUACUGACAGAUUGCAUACAUAUGCUCUGUCACUGUGGAAACUUGAUCGACAUGAUGAAGCUCUUUCAGUAUCAAGAAACUUGGCUAAAAGCUUAUCCAGUAUGAACUAGCAGAGUGCAACUGUGGCUUUGGGGUUUAUAUGCACGUUGACUACAUCUCUGGGAAGGACUCCGCAGCUGCGGUUAUUCAUAAACCGCCUGGUCAACUCAAUUACAGCACAGAGGGAGGCUAGGGCUGGGACCCGGGGAGAGGGGAGUCCAACGCCCAGGGAGAGAGCGUUUGCACAAGUUCAUAAUAGAACCUUUGUGCAUAGUUAAAUUUAUAUUUUAAUUAAAGAAAUAUUCAGGUAAUAAAUAAUUAUUGAUGUAUACUUAUUGAUUUUGUUUACCAUGUGUAAAUACUUCAACGCUAUUGAGUUUGGUGAUGUAGACGGAGCGUUUAGUGUUAUUGUAAUGGUAGAGAAGAAAUUCUAGACAAAGACUGACGAGAUGCAACACUUCAUA